rnacentral:miRNA from 1 species
GGAGUUGCCAGUGUUGCCUGUGGUGACAGCGGCAGUAGAGUUGCCAGGGCAGCCUGCAGUAACAGU